GGAGAAUCAUAAAUCAUCCCAGACUCAGAGCGGAGCGCACUGACUUCCUUUCCUGCGGCUGAAGAGAUCCAUUCAAACAUGGUUCCUCCUGUACAGGUCUCUUCGCUUAUCAAGACAGCAAGAUGGUCAGCCUUGCUAAUUGGAUUCAUUUAUGGGAAGCAGAGAUAUGAUUAUCUGAAGCCCAUUGCUGCUGAAGAAAGAAGGAUUGAGGAGGAAGAGAAGAAACUCAGGGAAGAGCGAGAGCGCAUUUACAAACAGCUUUCUGAAGCAAACUCUGACACCAUUCUGAAGUAAGUCUCGGUGGCGUAUCCAUUCCAGCACCAAAUGAGAUCACAAUGAACCUAAUUCUAUUUUUCAAUAAAGACAGAAGUUAACAUGU